rnacentral:rRNA from 1 species
AUGACUUCAUUUCAAGAAGGGGAGGAUGAUGAGGACAUCAAUACCAUUGUUACACCCACAGCCCCUGCUGCUAUACAUACUGGACCAAUUACUAGAGCUCGCGCACGCCAAUUGAAUUACCAGGUACUUUCGUUUCUCGGUAACGAUUCCAAUGUUCAUGAGAAUAUGAUGCUGCCUAAAUUGGAUACAUUUGUUUUGCUUACAAAUGAAGGGCCUAGUUUGGACAAGAAAGGUAAACCUUGGAGCAAGUUCAAGCAUGGAGACGAUGGCAUGCGCAAGGGGAUCAAGAACGGAGUUACAAGUGAUGAUUUCAGGACUUUGAAGCCACCAUAA